GUCUAAUCUUGCUGAGCAUAGCGGCAUUGUCAAUUAUCUCGAGGCGCUUGCUUGCAAUGGUAAUUACGACAGAGCAAGAUGAUCCCAAACACAGAUGGCAAUAAAGAGACCACGCGAAAGGCAGCAAGAAAAAUCUGAACGAGGUGACUUGAGCCAUCCACAUUCAACAGCGCAUAAGCUGUUCAGAGAAACAGGGGAGCCGGAAUGGAAGGCAGACGACGCACUGGACUGGCUGCCAGGCGAUCGACGAGCUGCAUUAACGUCAUCCGUGUGAACCACUACACUGCUGAUGGCCUGUGAUUUCAUGUAGAUACAGCCAAAGAAUGGCAGUGUGCCACUUGUGUGCUCCCUGAGGAUGAUCUGAAGAAGACUUUGCCUGUGCUGUCUGGCGGCAUGUCAACUGGCAGAGCCUGCGGAGUUUCUCAGAAAAAGGUUUGUGGAGGUCCACUGCAACAGAGAAGAAG